AUGGACUGCAUGAUCAUGUUCGGCAUGAUGAGAAACAACAAAACGAAACAUACCAGAAUUACUAUGGUAUCCGGAUACCUACGACUUCGCCAGGGGCUUAUCCCUGGGCAGCCACUCGUCGUCGCUGUAGGUGGCGGUUGUGUAGUUGUCCGGAAGGAGGGUCCUUCCCUUCUUGGACCCUUCGGCCGCCCCAGCCGGGGCGGCCUUCCUUUUCUUGUCUCCCCCGGCUGGGGGGAGAGAACUUUCCUCUUCUUCCUCCUCGUUUUCGUGGGAGGAGUGCACCUCGGUGCUUUCGGACGAUGA
rnacentral:rRNA from 1 species